UUUAUGGAGAGUUUGAUCCUGGCUCAGGAUGAACGCUGGCGGCGUGCCUAAUACAUGCAAGUCGAGCGAACGGACGAGAAGCUUGCUUCUCUGAUGUUAGCGGCGGACGGGUGAGUAACACGUGGAUAACCUACCUAUAAGACUGGGAUAACUUCGGGAAACCGGAGCUAAUACCGGAUAAUAUUUUGAACCGCAUGGUUCAAAAGUGAAAGACGGUCUUGCUGUCACUUAUAGAUGGAUCCGCGCUGCAUUAGCUAGUUGGUAAGGUAACGGCUUACCAAGGCAACGAUGCAUAGCCGACCUGAGAGGGUGAUCGGCCACACUGGAACUGAGACACGGUCCAGACUCCUACGGGAGGCAGCAGUAGGGAAUCUUCCGCAAUGGGCGAAAGCCUGACGGAGCAACGCCGCGUGAGUGAUGAAGGUCUUCGGAUCGUAAAACUCUGUUAUUAGGGAAGAACAUAUGUGUAAGUAACUGUGCACAUCUUGACGGUACCUAAUCAGAAAGCCACGGCUAACUACGUGCCAGCAGCCGCGGUAAUACGUAGGUGGCAAGCGUUAUCCGGAAUUAUUGGGCGUAAAGCGCGCGUAGGCGGUUUUUUAAGUCUGAUGUGAAAGCCCACGGCUCAACCGUGGAGGGUCAUUGGAAACUGGAAAACUUGAGUGCAGAAGAGGAAAGUGGAAUUCCAUGUGUAGCGGUGAAAUGCGCAGAGAUAUGGAGGAACACCAGUGGCGAAGGCGACUUUCUGGUCUGUAACUGACGCUGAUGUGCGAAAGCGUGGGGAUCAAACAGGAUUAGAUACCCUGGUAGUCCACGCCGUAAACGAUGAGUGCUAAGUGUUAGGGGGUUUCCGCCCCUUAGUGCUGCAGCUAACGCAUUAAGCACUCCGCCUGGGGAGUACGACCGCAAGGUUGAAACUCAAAGGAAUUGACGGGGACCCGCACAAGCGGUGGAGCAUGUGGUUUAAUUCGAAGCAACGCGAAGAACCUUACCAAAUCUUGACAUCCUUUGACAACUCUAGAGAUAGAGCUUUCCCCUUCGGGGGACAAAGUGACAGGUGGUGCAUGGUUGUCGUCAGCUCGUGUCGUGAGAUGUUGGGUUAAG
rnacentral:rRNA from 1 species